rnacentral:rRNA from 1 species
AGAGUUUGAUCCUGGCUCAGAUUGAACGCUGGCGGCAUGCUUUACACAUGCAAGUCGAACGCGAAAGCGGGGCAACCCGCAAGUAGAGUGGCGAACGGGUGAGUAAUACAUCGGAACAUGUCCAGUAGCGGGGGAUAACCUGUCGAAAGAUAGGCUAAUACCGCAUACGAUCUACGGAUGAAAGCAGGGGACCGCAAGGCCUUGCACUAUUGGAGUGGCCGAUGUCGGAUUAGCUAGUUGGUGAGGUAAAGGCUUACCAAGGCGACGAUCCGUAGCUGGUCUGAGAGGACGAUCAGCCACACUGGAACUGAGACACGGUCCAGACUCCUACGGGAGGCAGCAGUGGGGAAUUUUGGACAAUGGGCGCAAGCCUGAUCCAGCCAUGCCGCGUGAGUGAAGAAGGCCUUCGGGUUGUAAAGCUCUUUCGGCGGGGACGAAACGGUUCGCACCAAUACUGCGGACUAAUGACGGUACCCGCAUAAGAAGCACCGGCUAACUACGUGCCAGCAGCCGCGGUAAUACGUAGGGUGCAGGCGUUAAUCGGAAUUACUGGGCGUAAAGCGUGCGCAGGCGGUCUGUUAAGACAGGUGUGAAAUCCCCGAGCUCAACUUGGGAAUUGCGCUUGUAACUGGCAGGCUAGAGUGUGGCAGAGGGGGGUGGAAUUCCAGGUGUAGCAGUGAAAUGCGUAGAUAUCUGGAGGAACACCGAUGGCGAAGGCAGCCCCCUGGGUUAACACUGACGCUCAGGCACGAAAGCGUGGGGAGCAAACAGGAUUAGAUACCCUGGUAGUCCACGCCCUA